rnacentral:rRNA from 1 species
AAAGUGAAAUAAUAAUGAAAACUUUAAGCACAAAACAGUAGAGCUUCAACCUCAUACCUUUUGCAUCAUGGUUUAACGAGUCUAACCAAGCAAAACGCACCUUAAGUUUGACUUCCCGAAACCAGACGAGCUACUUAAGAACAGCCUCGUGGGCCAACCCGUCUCUGUUGCUAAAGAAUGGGACGAUUUUAAGUAGAGGUAUUAAACCUAUUGAGUCUAGAGAUAGGUGAUUAUUCAGGAAAAGGAUCUUAAUCCCACCUUAAAUUUUUGUACCCUGUAUUACACCCUAAAAUUUAAGAGCUAUUCAAAUAAGGUACAGCCUGUUUGAAAAAGGAUACAACCUCAAAGCAGCCACCUUUAAAAAAAGCGUUAAAGCUUUAUUGUUUACCAAAAAGAUACCACAAACUUAACUUAACCCCUUUACUAAUACUGAAUAACUUCAUAUCUUUAUGAAGAACCUUAUGUUAGAACUAGUAACAAGAAGAAGCCCUUCUCCAAAAUAUAAGCAUGAACCAAAAUGAACAAAUCAUUGGUACUUAAAAUUUUUUAGCUACAAGUAACAACUCAUCAAGAAAACCUUACUAUCCAACAUGUCAACCUUACACAAGUAUAUUUAUGGAAAGAGUAAAAGAAUGGGAAGGAACUCGGCAAAUUACUAACCCCGCCUGUUUACCAAAAACAUCGCCUCCUGCUACUUUAUAGGAGGUCCAGCCUGCCCAGUGAUAAAAUUAAACGGCCGCGGUACCCUAACCGUGCAAAGGUAGCGCAAUCACUUGUUCUUUAAAUGAGGACUAGUAUGAACGGCAUCACGAGGGUUACACUGUCUCCCCCCUCUACUCAGUGAAACUGAUCUCCCCGUGAAGAAGCGGGGAUAAAAAUAUAAGACGAGAAGACCCCAUGGAGCUUAAAACUCAGUCUUACCUGCCACCUAAAAAACCUAGAAACCACGCAGCACUAAUGACUAGUUUUCGGUUGGGGUGACCGCGGAGAAAAACAAAUCCUCCCCGACGAAAGGACCUAUUUACCUAACCCAAGAGCUACACCUCUAAGAAUCAACACAUUGACUAACUGAUCCAAUUUUUGAUCAGCGGACCAAGUUACCCUGGGGAUAACAGCGCAAUCCAUUUCAAGAGCUCAUAUCGACAAAUGGGUUUACGACCUCGAUGUUGGAUCAGGGUAUCCAAGUGGCGCAGCCGCUACUAACGG